ensembl:lncRNA
AUGCAGAAGAAUUUGCAUCUAGACGACAUUAUAUCAAAGAUACCAUCCCUUGACUCUGACCUAUCAUCAUCAGACAAUGAAGGAGAGAUGUCUGUUCUAAAGCAACUAACGUUAGUGACUCACUUACCGAAAGGAAGCAGCAUGAACCUGGAGUGUCCAAAAGUCAAGCCAUUUACUUCCUGGACGGAUGAUAGCCAAAAAGGUGACUCUAAUCCUCGGCUUCCUGUGGGUCACAAAACAGAAGAACCGCUGAAUGAAAAAGUGCCAGAGAAAACAGAACACAAUGUGCCUUUGCAACAAAAAGCAAACAAGACUGAUUGGAUAGAGACCGAGUUCUGUCCUGUUUUAUCACUGACACCUCUUGAUACCUGGGAUCUUGACCAAGUCCUUCAGACUCUACAGCAACACAAACCUCUUGUCAAGCCAAUUCAGUCCGAUACAUGCAGAGGCAAUGAGAGUGAAAUUAAUGAAAAUGAUUUAAUGAAGCAGCUGGUUGCUUUUUGUGAGAAGAAAGUAAAUGAGAUGGAAAUAAAGACACAUGUUUCAUCUACGAAAACUCAUAAUAUACAAGAAUCAUCCCUCAGAUGUACUGGGCAACAGAUGAAUGAGACAGACUUUAAAGAGACCUCAGCACAAUUACAACACAAUCAAGAUUCUCCAACCAUAUAUAUUGAUUUGCGCAACAAUGCAUUUCAAACGAAACAAUCAGUCAUUAGCCAGAGUAACAGUGUCAUAAGUCCUGCAAACCUGGACAAGAAAAAGAGCUCCACUAAGAAAACGUCUAACACUAAUGCAAGAGCAAAUGGACAGAAAAGAGAAUUUUCUGGGAAGAGUUUAUUACUCGGAAACAUGAGACAGUCAGAAGAAAGUAUGUUAGAGAUGUCUGGGAGCUGGAGAAAUCCUCAAGAUUUUGCUGGGGAUAAGCAGAAAAACUCUUCAGGGAAAAGAAUAAAGGAAAACCAUGAUUCUGAAACUAGCUGCAAUGAACCUGGUAUUCGGCAGGUCAGUGUCUGCUGUCCUACUGUGAAACAUGACCAACGUAAACAGAAUACUCCACCUUCUCACAUUCCAGCUGCUCGAAACAAGCAAAGAGAGCAACACAGUCAUAAAAUCAGAUGGCAGAAGGAUCUGAAGUUCUUGCAAGCAUUCAGACCUGAAUAUCUUAAUAAUAACUGUCCGGAAGCUGCUGAGAGGACUGAUAUUCUUUAUGAGCCUGAAGCAUCCUACCUUCCUUCGGUGAACACUCUACCUCCAGAUCUACAGAUGAAGGAGUGUUUGCUGCUGACUGUGUCCUUAUCCAGUCCUGGGGUGGUGGCUGGAAGAACACAAAGAAAAACAAAGAUAAAGGAUUCAGCCUUGAUCAAAUCACAUGUUUACAAUGCACUCAUAGCAUGGUUCAUGUCUUUGACUGAUCCAAAAACCUGUGGGAGAAAAGGUAACAAGCUUGAUGCCCCUUUCUGGGUGGCUGGGCUGCAGCAGUUUUACAAAGAAGAUGGCUUGGCCUUGUACAUCUGUGCCAUGUCUCACGAGGAUUGUCGAACUGGCUGUAGAAAUUCCAGGAUGAAGAAGGUGGAAAGCGACGAGAGCUUGUUUUAUAGACGAGUUUGCAAGUUCUUUGCACAGACGCCAUUGAAGAAUAUUGCCUUCUGGGUACCUCAGCUUAAUCAUUUGCUGGAGGAACAGGCUUAUCCUACCCUUGUCCACUUGCCCUCAUCCUACUUGGACUGCUUCAUCUCUGUCAACCCAUAUCAAGAGGCUGUUGAAAAGGUCUUUAGUAUGAUCCCAAGUUUCUACUGGCAAACUCUGGAAACCGAAGAUCAAAAAUGUCAAAGCACAGAAGCCACAAUUUCUCAAGAGUGCCAUACUGAGACAGCACUUGUUCUGAUAGGCAGGGCACUGUUUCUUAACCCACUGGCAAUGCAUCACACACUUGAGCUUAUGUGGAGAUCAAGUCUAGAUGUAUGUGGUAUCCGCUUCCUAUAUCCGCCCCAAGAGCUCCUGACAAACUUUGCAGUCAGCAAGUCAGUUAUGCAUGAAGGAGAACAUUCUCAUCAGCCAGUGCUCAUCAUGGCUUUCCGGGGUCCUCACUCUAACUCAGUGUGGCAGGAGAUCACAGGGCCAUCAGACCCGCGGCUGGCAAGGCGGACAGAUCCAGGAUCCAUCAGUGCCCUGUACGGUCACAGUCAAGACCAGCCCCUGCUCUACUCACCCCGUCUUGCCAGUCUUGUGCAUCUGGGACUCUGCUUGUGGUUUGGUGGUAGAAUAGCAAAAAAGAGCCUGUCAACGAUCCAGGACUCUGGUGACAAAGGAGUCAGAUGUUCCCAUGUUCUGACCUCUUCUCCAGCAAGUUUAUGUGCCACAGUGAAAGCGGAUAUAUUUCUCCUUGUGUCUCCUGUGGUUGGACCACGCUGUUACAGCUAUAUACUAUCUGCAUGUGCAAAAACAGGCUUCAGUCUAUUGGGACUUCAAAGAGCACAGAUCUCCAGGAAACAAGCUCAAUCUCUGGGACUCACCGCAGUGCAGGUAGCAGCAUUCUGUCAAGCUCCCACAGUGUUUCUGGCUGGAGAACAGGUUGAGCUGUCCUCUCAUUGCCUGGUGCUGCUCAUGAGGAGAGAAAGUGCAGUUAGACACUGUUCCAGACUGCCGAUAGGUUUGAUGAAUGAGCUUGCUGCACAAGGCCUUAUUGGAUCGAUCCGUUCAAGAUUCACAGACGUUCUGGGUCCACAUAUCUGCUUUCAUACCGUACCUUACUCUAAAAACUACCACAAUGUUCUGGGUGGGCUCAUGUGGACAGUGCCGGAGUGUAGCCACAUGGUCUUGUCCAAACACACAUAUCCCUCUUGUCCAGAUGCAGAGCAGGUGGUGAUUCUCACACUAACUGGUCAAAACAUUGUGGAGAAAGAAAUGGACUUUCUUCAGAAGGUUCUCAGUGGAGAUACAGCAGGACAAGAGGGAUUUGAGUUGCUUGCACUAAAGUGGGAGCCACAGCUGUCUCAGCAGCAGGCACAAGAGUUGAGCCCGUUUGAGAUCGGAGAAAAAGAGUGGCAGAGCAGUGUGCAGAGCUUGACAUCCACUCCUGCCCUGGUUUUGGGUUUGAGGAGGGUGAGGGCAUUUGUCACCCUACGUAGACUUUUACCACAAAAUUACCCAGGAAACCUGCAUGUAUUGAUGUCCCCCACACCUGAGACAGCUUUCAGACAGACCUGCCUCUUCUUCUCUGAGGCAGAAUUGGUCCCUGAUCACACUAGUCGUCCAUCAUUGAAAUUCUUACCGCCUCAUCACAUUGACACUCCUGGUAUGUACAGAAACAAGCCCAAAUAUAUUUUGCCCGCUAUGCUCUCAGGGAACUUACUGUCAAUCUCCGACAACCCUCAGGUCUCAGAAGUCAGUUGCUUUACAGUUACAUGA